ensembl:misc_RNA
GGAAAGGAAGCUUUAUUUCUUCCAAGAACCCUAUCUGGAGGAAUUAUGCAUACUUAGACAAUUCUUCUUCUAUUUGCCAUGAUUGCCUGAGGAAGGAGAAGUCUCUGAGAUAGCUACCAAGACCCUUUAUGGAUCUCUGUGGUGUUAUUCACUGAGGCUUCCUAGGAUGGGUGACUCCUCCUACCAUCAUUGUAUUCUUCCAAUUCUCCCAGUAGGGUAUGCAGUAGUCAUUUAGGGAAAACCUGACUAUGGCAAA